CACCAGCUCAUUGUCCGUUCUACAGUUUAGGCUGAUGAACAUUGUUGGACUACCCAAGCUACGUAUGCUAUGUGGCUAGUUGGGGUUAUCGUUGUUUGCGGGACUGUUUAGUUCUCUGAACUUUCUCUGGUCAUAGCAUUCACCAGGUUUAGUUAAACUUGGAGCUUAGUUCUGGUCUGCCGUUUUCUGCCUUUUCCCUUUUGUUCUUUAUUAAACAUCAUGAAUUGCACUUCAGUUUCCGGCAUGUUCUUCCGCCUGACAUAAACCUACCAUUUGAAGGAGAAAAGAACUACCGUUGGACCACUGCUGACCAGAUAUUAUUUGUGUGGUACAGCAGGUACAGCAGAUUUGCUGUGUAUUUUAACACCACAAUGUCACCACUAACCAAAGAUUUCCAGCAAACAGUGCUGUCGACAGAACCUGACAAAGAACUCUGACAAAGAUCUAAAGGACGAAUGUGGACGGAAAUAAAGAGAGGUAUUCGUCCCUAUUGUACUGCGCACACAUCCAAAUGUCUAAUAAAGUAAUCACAGAGUUU